rnacentral:lncRNA from 1 species
CCAAAUAAAUUUUAUUUUUUCCCAAACAUAUAUUUUGGGAUUGUGACUAAAGGGUGGAGUGGGUGUUACCUAGGCUAAUAGGUUAAAUUCACUUCAUUUUAAAGAUUCAGAAUGCAAAAGCCCAUUCUAGGUAUUGGGUGCCGACUAAUUCUGAUAAUAAUCCAUUGUAAAUCUGUGUUGGCUACAGAGUAUUAACUGUUUAGUAGCAGUCAUUUUUAACAAGCCCAUAACAUUGCCAUUACAUGAAUUAUACAUGGUUUAUAA